CCUACGGGUGGCAGCAGUGAGGAAUAUUGGUCCAUGGGCGCAGGCCUGAACCAGCCAAGUCGCGUGAGGGAAGACUGCCCUAUGGGUUGUAAACCUCUUUUAUAAGGGAAGAAUAAUGACUACGUGUAGUCAGAUGCCCGUACCUUAUGAAUAAGCAUCGGCUAACUCCGUGCCAGCAGCCGCGGUAAUACGGAGGAUCCGAGCGUUAUCCGGAUUUAUUGGGUUUAAAGGGAGCGUAGGUGGAUUGUUAAGUCAGUUGUGAAAGUUUGCGGCUCAACCGUAAAAUUGCAGUUGAAACUGGCAGUCUUGAGUACAGUAGAGGUGGGCGGAAUUCGUGGUGUAGCGGUGAAAUGCUUAGAUAUCACGAAGAACUCCGAUUGCGAAGGCAGCUCACUGGACUGCAACUGACACUGAGGCUCGAAAGUGUGGGUAUCAAACAGGAUUAGAUACCCGUGUAGUC
rnacentral:rRNA from 1 species